UAAAAAGCUCGUAGUUGGAUCUGUGUCCCGGAUGGUCGGUGCGCCGCUCGCGGUGUUUUCACUGACUCUUCCGGACGUCCUGCCGGUGGACCGUUCGUCGGCCCCCUCGGGGGUUCGCGCGGGCGGCCCUGACUCCCUCCGCGCUGCUCUUAACCGAGCGGUUCGGUGGGCCGGCAAGUUUACUUUGAACAAAUUUGAGUGCUCAAAGCAGGCGGCAAGUCGCCUGAAAACUGUGUGCAUGGAAUAAUGGAAUAGGACUUCGGUUCUAUUUUGUUGGCUUUUCUGAACCCGAAGUAAUGAUUAAUAGGGACAGACGGGGGCAUUCGUAUUGAGGCGUUAGAGGUGAAAUUCUUGGAUCGCCUCAAGACGGACGGAUGCGAAAGCGUUUGCCAAGAAUGUUUUCGCUAAUCAAGAACGAAAGUUAGAGGUUCGAAGGCGAUCAGAUACCGCCCUAGUUCUAACCAUAAACGAUGCCAGCCAGCGAUGCGCCCGAGUUCCUCCGAUGACUGGGCGCGCAGCUUCCGGGAAACCAAAGCUUUUGGGUUCCGGGG
rnacentral:rRNA from 1 species